UAAGGAAUAUUGGUCAAUGGACGCAAGUCUGAACCAGCCAUGCCGCGUGAAGGAUGAAGGCCCUCUGGGUUGUAAACUUCUUUUAUCUGGGAAGAAACCACUUUUUUUUAAGGGUGUUGACGGUACCAGAGGAAUAAGCACCGGCUAACUCCGUGCCAGCAGCCGCGGUAAUACGGAGGGUGCAAGCGUUAUCCGGAUUCACUGGGUUUAAAGGGUGCGUAGGUGGGUUGGUAAGUCAGUGGUGAAAUCUCCGUGCUUAACAUGGAAACUGCCAUUGAUACUACUGAUCUUGAAUUUUCAGGAGGUAAGCGGAAUAUGUCAUGUAGCGGUGAAAUGCUUAGAUAUGACAUAGAACACCAAUUGCGAAGGCAGCUCACUACACGAAUAUUGACUCUGAGGCACGAAAGCGUGGGGAUCAAAC
rnacentral:rRNA from 1 species